rnacentral:rRNA from 1 species
UGGGGAAUAUUGGACAAUGGGGGCAACCCUGAUCCAGCCAUGCCGCGUGAGUGAUGAAGGCCUUCGGGUUGUAAAGCUCUUUUGGCGGGGACGAUGAUGACGGUACCCGCAGAAUAAGCCCCGGCUAACUUCGUGCCAGCAGCCGCGGUAAGACGAAGGGGGCUAGCGUUGUUCGGAAUUACUGGGCGUAAAGCGAGUGUAGGCGGUUGCCGUAGUCAGGUGUGAAAGCCCCUGAGCUCAACUCAAGAAAUGCACUUGAUACUGGGUGACUAGAGGACCGGAGAGGAUAGUGGAAUUCCCAGUGUAGUGGUGAAAUACGUAGAGAUUGGGAAGAACACCAGUGGCGAAGGCGGCUAUCUGGANGUUACUGACGCUAAGACUCGAAAGCGUGGGGAGCAAACAGGAUUAGAUACCCUGGUAGUCCACGCCGUAAACGAUGGGU